UACGAAGGGGGCUAGCGUUGCUCGGAAUUACUGGGCGUAAAGCGUGCGCAGGCGGUUAUUUAAGUCAGGUGUGAAAGCCCUGGGCUUAACCUAGGAAUUGCGCUUGAGACUGGAUAGCUUGGAGUGCGGCAGAGGGAGGUGGAAUUCCACGUGUAGCAGUGAAAUGCGUAGAGAUGUGGAGGAACACCGAUGGCGAAGGCAGCCUCCUGGACCAGCACUGACGCUCAUGCACCGAAAAGGCGUGGGGAGCAAACAGG
rnacentral:rRNA from 1 species